GGGUCAGUAGGUUGGUCGUGCCACCGGUACGUACUGGUCUCACUGAUUCCUCCUUCCUGAAGAACCUUAAUGCCACUAAUUUGGUGUUGCGGGGAAACAGGACUGUUACUUUGAAAAAAUUAGAGUGUUUAAAGCAAGCUAACGCUUGAAUACAUUAGCAUGGAAUAAUGAAAUAGGACGAUCGAUCCUAUUUUGUUGGUUUCUAGGAUUGACGUA
rnacentral:rRNA from 1 species